GACAGAAGGGACAAGUGUUAUUCAUAUUUACUGGGCGUCAAGGGUAUGUAGGUGGUUUUUGAUGUUUGAUACUAAAUUCUAUGGAUGUACCCAUAAGCCGGUAUUUUUCACACUAAAACUAGAGCCAUGUUAAAGUUCGGAGAACUCUCUGUGGAGUACUAAAAUGCUAAGAUAUAGAGAUGACUGCCAACGAUGAAGAUACUGUUCGUAACAUGACUGACACUGAGGUACGGAAGUAUGGGUAUCGAACGGG
rnacentral:rRNA from 1 species